UACGUAGGGUGCGAGCGUUAAUCGGGAUUACUGGGCGUAAAGCGUGCGCAGGCGGUUAGCCGUGUCCGAUGUGAAAGCCCCGGGCUCAACCUGGGAAUGGCAUUGGAAACUGGCUGGCUGGAGUGUGGCAGAGGGGGGUGGAAUUCCACGUGUAGCAGUGAAAUGCGUAGAGAUGUGGAGGAACACCGAUGGCGAAGGCAGCCCCCUGGGUCAAGAUUGACGCCCAUGCACGAAAGCGUGGGGAGCAAACAGG
rnacentral:rRNA from 1 species